rnacentral:pre_miRNA from 1 species
AAUAGAUGACGCCGUUGACUUUUUCUCACAUGUUCGACCAUUCGUCUUAUUCAAAAAUUUUAUGCAAUUAAUUAUAAUUUAUUUUGUUAUGAGUUGUUUAUCACUCAUAGUACUUUAAGUGUGAUUUAUAUCUUAUACAUUUGCAUAAAAUUUUUGAAUAAGACGAAUGGUUAAACAUGUGAGAAAAAGUCAACGGCGUUAUCUAUU